rnacentral:lncRNA from 1 species
CCACUUUUACUAGAAUUUUUUUAUGGGGUGCAUAUCCAUUUCCUGUCAAGUCUGCAUUGUAUAUCUAUGUUUGUGGUUCACAGAAUGAGUGUCAAUUGAUUUCAGAUGCUUAAUGAAUCUAAGUCAAAGUAACAACAGCAAUAAGCCAUAAUUUCUCUGCUGUCAUGAAAGACGAUUUUCAGUUUCGGUUACAAUAACAACAAUAACAACAACAAAGCUGUGAGUCACGACUACUUGGGAUUAACUACAUGGAUCUUUUGCCACUCUUGACAUUUAUAAAAAGUCAAAUAUUUAGUUAACCUUAGAGUACUUAAAUCUUUAUUUAUAAUUUCUAUUAAAAUCUUUUUAGGUCUUUCUCUACCUCUUCUUGUAUCAUUAAUAAUAGUAAUUUCACUUCUUUUGACUACCGUAUCCAGAGGUCUUCUAAGCAUAUGUCUAUAUCAUCUCGGACGAUUUUCUCUCAUUUUAUCCUCUAUUGAAGCGAUAUCUAGUUGUUCACAAAGAAUAGUAUUUUUUUCCUAUCUUUCCUAGUAACUUCACGCAUCCAUCUCAACAAUUUUCAGUUUAUGUUGAAUGUGAAAAAUUAGCAUUGGCAAACUUUUGUUAUAUCAUAAUAUCUGUAAUUUAUUUUUCUUGUUCAACAAUUUAAGAAUGCACUUUUACUGAACUUAUCAAUUAGUCAGGGUGGGCCACUUUUAUUUAACUAGUUAUGGCAUAUGUGCAUUGGCAUUUGAGCUAUGUUGUUGAGUUGCACAAGUGGUAUUCUGAUGACAGUAGCCUAUUCAACCAAACAUGGCCUAUUUCUAAAUGUAGGUUUCCAUAUUUGUGAAAACUGGAUGCAUUGUACAUGCAUAGUUGGAAAAUUGGAAAAAAGAUUAACAAGUCAUGUUGAACAGCCUAGUCCAAGUUAACAGUAUGAGCAGUAACAAUUUGGAUUAUUUCCCCUGCAUUUGAACGUGCUGGGAAACUUGGAUAUAAUGGAAGUAAAAUUUUGGCUUUGUUAUUAUGGGUAUAUGUGUCUAAUUUUGGUUCACAUAUUUAAUUUGUUAACAGUUAUGUGAUGGAUGACUUUGUUAUGCUGCAUGUACCAUAUUGAAGAUGUCUUGGGAAGCCCAACCCAACCAACCAUAUUGAGUGGAGGAAAUUCAUUAUCUGAAUAGCAAAUUUGAAAUUUUAAUAUGCAGUUUUGUGGGAAAAAUCAAGAGCAGAAUGUUUAAUUAAGGGUUCUCAGAAGCCUUUAAGCACAUAUACAUGGUCAAGCAAAUAUAUGAUUAUGGAGACUUCAAGCUUAUACUGUGGCUCAAUCUACACUUCUAAACAUAGAUAACUAUGAUCAGUACUUAAUUACAUUUCUGUUGGUUGUCAAAGUCAAACUAAUUGUCUUCGGUUGCCCAUCCAACCAAGAACAGUAAAUGAAGGAACUUUAGCUCAUGAAAAUCAAAACUUGAUUUAAAAUAUACAAGGAUCAUUUUCAGAGAAGAAUCCUAGUCAAAGUAGGUUUGUCAAGAGAAUGGAUGAUAUCGGGGAGAGUAAAAAUGCAAAAUGGAUUUCGAAAGAACACCGAUAGAACAGUUGUUCAGAUAGAAAAUGUCACAGAAGACAAGGAACGAACUGAUACCGGAAGCACUAACGAAGCAACUUUGAUAAAAACGAAAAGUAGCUCACCACCAAGUUUAAAAUCACAAUGGGAUACAGAAAGUUCACCACCCAACGGAAAUUAAACGAGGAUACAGAACUAGAAAAUAAAAGACUCACCACUCAAGGAUGCAUCCAAGAGAUACAUAGUUUAAGGGGGUUCUCUAAGAGAGCUUCUGCUAAGAUAUCAUUAGUUUCUAAAGUCCUUUCUAAGUCCUAAACCCCAAAAUAAAUACUAGUGCAUGAAACAACCCUUCAUGCAUAGGGAAUUUCGAAAUUAAGUGCUUUACAGCUGCCAACCAACUCCAUUAAUGUAUUUCUUUGUGCAGGGAAUAUGCUGAUGAGUUGUCUUAUCUGAGUAGGCUGAGUUGAAGAUUAUGUGGCAAUAUUAUUGGCUGAAAAAAAUAUCAUAUUAUCAGCAUGGUCUAUAUGAACAGAUUGUAGCAAAUUAGACACUCCCGUGUCAAUCUCCCCUGGUUGAAAAAGACUUGUCCUCAAGUCCUUGUUUGUUUCGUCAUCAUGAUUAUAAAAAGGACUUAAAUCAGUCACAUUAAAUGUUGGGGAUACUCCGUAAUCCUUAGGUAGCUCAAUCUCAUAAGCAUUUUUGCCAAUUCUCUUAAGCACCUUGAAUGGACCAUCAGCCUUUGGUUUUAGUUUUCCAAAUUUGCCCGGCGGAAACCUCUCCUUCCUUAGAUGAAUCCAGACCAAAUCACCUGCAUUAAACUCCACAUGUUUUCUGUGUUUGUUUGCAGCAUGCAUGUACCUCUCAUUUUGUUUAUCAAUGGUUGCUUUCACACCCUUAUGCAACUUCUUUAUCUGCUUAACUCUUUCAUCAGCAUCUCCACUAAAUUGCUUUGUUAUAGAAUGAGGGAUUAAGUCCAAAGGACCAGUAGGAUUAGCACCAUAAACUACCUCAAAAGGACUCUUACCAAUACUAUGAUGCAUAGAACGAUUGUAAGCAAACUCAAUUUGUGGAAGAAUGACAUCCCACUGCUUAANNNNNNNNNNNNNNNNNNNNUGUUGUAGAAUGAGGGAUUAAGUCCAAAGGACCAGUAGGAUUAGCACCAUAAACUACCUCAAAAGGACUCUUACCAAUACUAUGAUGCAUAGAACGAUUGUAGGCAAACUCAAUUUGUGGAAGAAUGACAUCCCACUGCUUAAUAUUCUUGCAAACAUAGCUUCUAAGAAAAUUUUCCAAGCUUCUGUUUGUUACUUCAGUUUGCCCAUCGGUUUGUGGAUGAUGCGAGCUACUGAAAUUCAAAGAAGUACCCAGCUUCCUCCAAAGAGUUCUCCAAAAAUGACUAACAAAUUUUGAAUCUCGAUCAGACACCAUAGUUCUUGGAAUACCAUGCAAUUUAAUAAUCUCCUUAAAAUAUAAAUCAGCAAUAUGAGAUGCAUCAUUUGAUUUAUUGCAUGGAACAAAGUGAGACAUUUUUGAAAAUCUGUCAACAACAACCAUGAUAGAAUCCUUGUUCCUUUGAGUUCUUGGCAGUCCCAAAACGAAAUCAAGACUCACAUCCUCUCAUGGAGCAUUUGGCAUUGACAAUAGAGUGUACAAAUCAGAAUUUUGACUUCUUGUUUUUGCCAAAUGACACAAUCGGCAUUGCUUCACAUGUCUAUCCACAUCUCUGAAUAUUUUAGGCCAGUAAAAAUUUGAUUGAACAAGAGCUAGAGUCUUGUCCCUACCGAAAUGUCCUCCCAAAACACCACUAUGAACUUCAGCUAGAAUUACUUGUCUCAAAGAACAAGAUGGAACACACAAAGCAUUAGCUCGAAAAAGAAAACCAUCAAAGAUAAAAAAUUAUUGAAAGGAACCUGAUUUACAAUUCUGCCAUAUCGAGCCGAAAUCCACAUCAUUCUCAUAUAGAUCUUUGAAUGUUUCAAAUCCAACCACUUUGACUUCCAUUGCUGAUAAUAAAGAAUGCUUUCUGCUUAAUGAGUUAGCAACUAUAUUUUGAACACCAAAUUUGUGCUUGAUUGUAAAGUAAGAUUGUAAAAACUCCACCCAAGCUGCAUGUCUCUUGUUUAGCUUGUGCUCGUGAUUAAUGAACUUUAAUGUCUCAUGAUCAGAAUAUAGAACAAAUGGCUUGGCAAGAAGAUAUUGACUCCAAUGAGACAAAGCUCGAUAAAUCACAUAAAACUCCUUAUCAUAAGUAGAGUAUUUCUUUCUCGUAUCAUUUAGCUUUUUACUAAAAAAUGCAAUAGGCUUUCCGUCUUGGCUCAAAACAGCACCAAUUCCCAUAUUAGAUGCAUCACACUCAACUUGAAACACAUUAUCAAAAUUUGGUAGAACUAAGAUAGGAGCUUCGGUCACCUUUCUUUUCAAAAGCUUAAAAGCAUCAUUAGCUUCACUAGUCCAUUUGAAUUUAUCACAUUUUAGACAUUCGGUGAUUGGAGCAACAAUAGAGUUGAAACCCUUGAUAAAUCUUCUGUAAAACGAAGUUAAGUCAUGGAAACUCCUCAUAUCAUGCAAUGAAGCAGGUGUUGGCCAACUAAGAAUAGCCUCUACCUUAUUUUGAUCCAUCAUGCUUCCAUCUUUUGAAACAACAUACUCCAGAAACACCACACUAGAAGUAAAGAAAUCACACUUCUUUAGAUUAGCAUAAAGUUUUUGAUGUCUCAAAAUAAGAAAGAUCUCUUUCAGAUGAUUCAUAUGCUCUUCUUCGCUCUUGUUGUACACCAAUAUAUCGUCAAAAUAAACUACAACAAAUAUUUCAAUGCAUGGCUUAAGUAUGUGAUUCAUAAAUCUCAUGAAGGUGCUAGGAGCAUUAGAUAGCCCAAAUGGCAUAACCAACGAUUCAUAUAAGCCUUUUCUAGUUUUAAAUGUUGUUUUCCACUCAUCUCUUGGCCUCAUUCUUAUUUGGUGAUAGUCACUCCUCAAAUCAAUUUUUGAGAAAAUAUAGGCACCACACAAUUGAUCAAGUAAAUCAUCUAACCUUGGAAUAGGAAAGCGAUAGUCCACUAUGAUUUUGUUGAUAGUGCGACUGUCCACGCACAUUCUCCAAGAGCCAUCCUUCUUUGGCACCAACAAGGCUGGAACCGCACAAGGACUCAUGCUCUCCCGAAUUAACCAUUUUUUCACCAAUUCAUCAACUUGCCUUUGAAGUUCUUCAUGCUCCUUGGGACUCAUUCUAUAUGCUGCCUUAUUAGGUAGAACAGCCUCCGGAAUAAGAUCAAUGUGAUGCUGGAUAUCUCUCAAGGGUGGAAGGCCAUGUGGAAUCUCUUCUGGUAUAACAUCUUCAAACUCUUCCAAGAUUUGUUUCAUGAUUGCUGGUGUCUCCUUGUGUUGUUCAUUUUCCUCUACUACUACUAGAGCCAUAACAUUACCUCCUUUGUCUAAUUCAUCUUUACAUUCACCAUAGGACAUAAAAGCGCUAACUUUCUUCUUUGGUGCACUGAUUUCGGAUGGUUAUAAUGGAGCUAAAAUAAUCUUCUUUUCAUUCACCUUAAAAGAAUAAGUAUGUUUGUAGACGUCAUACAACACCCUUCUAUCAUAAUGCCAAGGUCUUCCCAACAGCAAAUGACAAGCAUCCAUAGGAGCAACAUCACACCAUACUUUAUCUUUAUAAUACUUGCCAAUAGAAAAUAAAACUAAACAUCUUUUAGUUACAUUGAUGUCAUUUCCUUUUUGCAGCCAACAUAACUAGUAUGGAUGUGGAUGAGGGAUGGUAUCCAACUUUAGCUUCUGCACCAUCUCCAAAGAUACCACAUUCUCAAAGCUGUCGCUGUCGAUGAUCCCCAAGCACACUUUGCCAAGAGAAGUGCAUUUAGUGUGAAACACAUUUUUUCUCACCCAACUUUCAUCGUCGGCCACAUAUGACACUUGUAAACUACGUUGCAAUACAAUAGACAAACCAUGAUCAGUAUAAGUAAUCUCUUCCUCAUCAUCAUCGUAUUUUGGUUCAUCCCUAGCUUCAUCUUCUACUCCAUCACUAUGAUCUUCAACCAAAGUUACAAUCCUCCUAUUUGGACAAUCUAAAGUAAUAUGCCCAAAACCAUGACAUUUGAAGCAUUUUCGGCCACUUGGGGUAGAAGAAUUAGGUGUUUUUUUGCUGCCAGCAUAUUCUUCACCCUUUUCUUGCACCUUCGAUAUCACCUUGCUUUGGACAGUAGGCUUGGAACUUCCUCCUUUUGUAUAUCCUUCUUUUGAGUUGUACCGAAAACUCUUUUCAAACUUCUGUUGCUUUUCAACUUUUAAUGCCAGCUUGCUCACAUCAUUUAAAGACCAAUAUGACUGUAGCUGAACAACUUUAGCAAUCUCAUACUUCAUACGUCCUAAGUAUCUUGCAAUUGUUUGCUCUUUCGGUUCCACAAGCUCUCCUUUUAACAUCAAAUUAUCGAAUUCUGCAGUGUACUCCUCCACACUAAGAUAUUUUUGCUUGAAAUCAUAUAUUUUGAGAAAGAUCUUUUGCCUAUAAUUAUGAGGUAAAUAUUUUCUCUUCAGCUCCCUUUUCAUUUUCUCCCAUGUAACGAUCUUACUCUUCCCCUCACGUUCUCUUUGUUUCUUCAGAUUUUCCCACCAAAAAGAUGCAUUCCGCCUAAGUUUGAGUGCCACAAGUUUGACCUUCUUUUGUUCUGGUGGUUCAUGAAAAUCGAAAAUUCUUUCUACUGUAUUAAGCCAAUCGAUAAAGUCAUCAACAUUUAUUUUACCUUCAAAUUCUGGAAUAUCUAAUCUGGGGUUAUAUUUAUUCUGCCACUCGUCUUGGACUCCAUUUCUUAUCCGACAUCUUCUCGACUCCCUUGGAAGAUGAGGUGUAUCAUCAUCAGAAGUAAACUCUGGAAUGUCAUUUUCUUGCUGGUUUUGUCUACUUUGAAGUUCGUCGAUUAUUUCAUUUUUUUCUUGUAGGCUACGUAGCAAUUUUCGUAGCUGCAGCCUCAACGACUUAGCGUCAACUUCAUGGUCGCUACCUUCACCAACUACAUCUUUUCCAUUCUGCCUUGCCAUGAUCUCUAGUAUUUAGCUCUGAUACCAAACUGAUAUCGGGGAGAGUAAAAAUGCAGAAUGGAUUUCGAAAAAAUACCGAUAGAACAGUUGUUCAGAUAGAAAAUGUCACAGAAGACAAGGAACGGACUGAUAUCGGAAGCACUAACGAAGCAACUUUGAUAAAAACGAAAAGUAGCUCACCACCAAGUUUAAAAUCACAAUGGGAUACAGAAAGUUCACCACCCAACGGAAAUUAAACGAGGAUACAAAACUAGAAAAUAAAAGACUCACCACUCAAGGACGCAUCCAAGAGAUACAGAGUUUAAGGGGCUUCUCUAAGAGAGCUUCUGCCUAGAUAUCAUUAGUUUCUAAAGUUAUUUCUAAGCCCUAAACCCCAAAAUAAAUACUAGUGCAUGAAAUAACCCUUCAUGCAUAGGAAAUUUCGAAAUUAAGUGCUUUACAACUGCCAACCAACUCCAUUAAUGUAUUCCUUAGCCAUGAAGAAAAGCACCAUGAUACAGCUUUACAGCUGCCAACCAACUCCAUUAAUGUAUUUCUUUGUGCAGGGAAUAUGCUGAUGAGCUGUCUUAUCUGAGUAGGCUGAGUUGAAGAUUAUGUGGCAAUAUUAUUGGCUGAAAAAAAUAUCAUAUUAUCAGCAUGGUCCAUAUGAACAGAUUGUAACAAAUUAGACACUCCCGUGUCAAUGGAACUGAGCACCUUUCUUAAAUUGGUUCCAUUGAAAGGAGAGAAAGGAGUCAAGGAGCUGCCUUUUGUUCUUGGGCUGAGCCUUUUGGUCAGAUUUAAUUUGCUCAAGCACUGGAUGGUCUUUGAAUACUGUGGGAUUAGCAUUUUUUGUCAUAAUAUAGGGAAAUCUCACCAUUUCAUUAGAAAUGUAGUUGAAAAAUUAAAAUGUCAUGCAAAAUAAGAAAUAUGUUCUCGUUAUACCAGAUAAUAGUUAGGUUGUACUUACUUUUUCUUCAAAAAGCUUCUGUUCCACUUAAUAUUGGUUUAUAACUGUCCUAGCAGUAAUUGUAUAGUUACCAGUAUUUUAAAGGCCAAAGGAAACAUGUAUAUAUUAUUUUUGCC